rnacentral:rRNA from 1 species
AGAGUUUGAUCAUGGCUCAGAUUGAACGCUGGCGGCAGGCUUAACACAUGCAAGUCGAGCGGAGAUGAGGUGCUUGCACCUUAUCUUAGCGGCGGACGGGUGAGUAAUGCUUAGGAAUCUGCCUAUUAGUGGGGGACAACAUUCCGAAAGGAAUGCUAAUACCGCAUACGCCCUACGGGGGAAAGCAGGGGAUCUUCGGACCUUGCGCUAAUAGAUGAGCCUAAGUCGGAUUAGCUAGUUGGUGGGGUAAAGGCCUACCAAGGCGACGAUCUGUAGCGGGUCUGAGAGGAUGAUCCGCCACACUGGGACUGAGACACGGCCCAGACUCCUACGGGAGGCAGCAGUGGGGAAUAUUGGACAAUGGGCGGAAGCCUGAUCCAGCCAUGCCGCGUGUGUGAAGAAGGCCUUUUGGUUGUAAAGCACUUUAAGCGAGGAGGAGGCUACUUAGAUUAAUACUCUAGGAUAGUGGACGUUACUCGCAGAAUAAGCACCGGCUAACUCUGUGCCAGCAGCCGCGGUAAUACAGAGGGUGCGAGCGUUAAUCGGAUUUACUGGGCGUAAAGCGUGCGUAGGCGGCUGAUUAAGUCGGAUGUGAAAUCCCUGAGCUUAACUUAGGAAUUGCAUUCGAUACUGGUCAGCUAGAGUAUGGGAGAGGAUGGUAGAAUUCCAGGUGUAGCGGUGAAAUGCGUAGAGAUCUGGAGGAAUACCGAUGGCGAAGGCAGCCAUCUGGCCUAAUACUGACGCUGAGGUACGAAAGCGUGGGUAGCAAACAGGAUUAGAUACCCUGGUAGUCCACGCCCUAAACGAUGUCAACUGGUU